rnacentral:rRNA from 1 species
AGUGAACGCUGGCGGCAGGCCUAACACAUGCAAGUCGAACGGCAGCACAGUAAGAGCUUGCUCUUACGGGUGGCGAGUGGCGGACGGGUGAGGAAUACAUCGGAAUCUACUUUUUCGUGGGGGAUAACGUAGGGAAACUUACGCUAAUACCGCAUACGACCUACGGGUGAAAGCAGGGGAUCUUCGGACCUUGCGCGAUUGAAUGAGCCGAUGUCGGAUUAGCUAGUUGGCGGGGUAAAGGCCCACCAAGGCGACGAUCCGUAGCUGGUCUGAGAGGAUGAUCAGCCACACUGGAACUGAGACACGGUCCAGACUCCUACGGGAGGCAGCAGUGGGGAAUAUUGGACAAUGGGCGCAAGCCUGAUCUAGCCAUACCGCGUGGGUGAAGAAGGCCUUCGGGUUGUAAAGCCCUUUUGUUGGGAAAGAAAAGCAGCAGGUUAAUACCCCGCUGUUCUGACGGUACCCAAAGAAUAAGCACCGGCUAACUUCGUG